rnacentral:rRNA from 1 species
UACAGAGGUCCCAAGCGUUGUUCGGAUUCAUUGGGCGUAAAGGGUGCGUAGGCGGCGCGGUAAGUCGGAUGUGAAAUCUCGGAGCUUAACUUCGAAACUGCAUUCGAUACUGCCGUGCUUGAGGACUGGAGAGGAGACUGGAAUUUACGGUGUAGCGGUGAAAUGCGUAGAUAUCGUAAGGAAGACCAGUGGCGAAGGCGGGUCUCUGGACAGUUCCUGACGCUGAGGCACGAAGGUCAGGGGAGCAAACGGG